CUUCUCUUUGCCUCUUUAAAAUAAAUUGGCCUGUACAGGCUGCCAUGAGGCUGAGCUAUUUCAAGUGCAUAACUCAGGGUGACGGGUACGCCAUCCACCAGGCCAGGAUUUGGCCUGCCUUAUAAUCUCUUGCUUUUAUUCGCUGUAGCUCUCUCUCUCUCUCUGGACCACAAGAGUCAGCCCUGAGAGCAGCAUGGAGCUCGGACAGUUGGAAGAUGCGUUGUGUGGGCUGAAUUCGUUGGUGCACGCACGAUUCCUGUCUCUCUCCGUGAAUACAGCUUUCAGCAGCCCCUCGUGCCAAGUUUGAGUCCAAUUAAACUACAAUGAGAGGCCCAGGUGCUGAGAACAGUUCCAGCUGGCUAAGAAGCGAAGGUCAGAGAGACCCGAGCUCGCCAGACCCUGAAUCCCAGAAGCUUAAAACAUCAUCAGAGUUUCUCCUACCAGCUCAGGGACCUAUGGCUCUUUUAGUAGUCCUUAAAAAAAAAAAAAAAAAAAAAAAAAAAGACAGCAAAAGCUCAACCUAAAAUGAAAGAGAUCAGUUUAAUUAUGUAUGCGUAAAAAAAUAAUCAAGAUCAAAAAAUGCUUUCAUUUUCCUGGGGGAAUUUUUUUGGUUGGAAAUACAAAUGGUUGCUGUUCUUGCCUAGAAGAUGGAAAAGACACUUGAGCCUACAGCAGGCAAGGGUUUACGGAACGGUGGCUGCUGCUCUUCGCCCGGCCCUGGGAAGGGGGUGAUGAACACGGUCUGAAAUCAAUAUCAGGGAACAGUUACUGCAUCUCAAUAUUAUCUGCCGAGAUGGGCUGCUGGAAGAGGAUGGGGGAAGAGGGAGGUAUGUCGAUAGCUUUAACGAAGCACUCCACAGCCAUGCACAAAGGGAGGUCAGAUAACUCUCGGCAGACCAACCCCCAUUGUAAGUAGUAAAAAUGAUAAAAUCAAUAUUAUUAAAUAAAAAGUUAGCACUGCUAUUGAACCCUCUCACGAUCUUGGCAGCGCCUGGCUGAAAACGAAGGAGGCUAUUUUCCAGUCUCUUCAGGGGCAAAUAUUUAGGAUCGUGAACAUUUGCAAAAUGUGGGGGGAGAGACAUACUUUUCACAUAAAAACUGGGCCGUGGGAACAUCUGAACAAGAGGGCCAGGUAACUGUUGCCUUGGAAGACAGCGAUCCUGCCCAGCCAGGUGAACAUGCACUCCGAGGGCCACUAAAGGUCACGUCAUUUGCAGCUGGACUUUGCUCCUUGGUCCUUCAGGGUGACAGAGGUCAGACUGGCUCAGGGCUUUCCAGGAAAAGAGAAAGGUGCUACUUACUCUCCUUUCAAACCUUGAGACUUGGAAAAGCACCAGAAAAAAAUCAUGGAGGAGAAAAAGGGGAGGGAAAAAAAAA